rnacentral:tRNA from 1 species
GGAGGGGCCAUGGCUCAGUGGUAGAGAUUCUGCUUGGCAGGCAAAAGGUCUCAGGUUCGAUCCCUGGCGUCUCCA